GAUGAACGCUAGCGGCAGGCCUAAUACAUGCAAGCCGAACGGCAAGUCUGAUAGCAAUAUUAGACCUAGAGUGGCGUAAGGGUGCGUAACACGUAUGCAAUCUACCCGCAACAGGAGGAUAGCUCGGGGAAACUCGAAUUAACCCUCCAUAAGAUCUUAGACCGGCAUCGGUUAGAGAUUAAAUCUGAGGAGGUUGCGGAUGAGCAUGCGUCUGAUUAGCUAGUUGGCGGGGUAAUGGCCCACCAAGGCGAUGAUCAGUAGGGGAACUGAGAGGUUGAUCCCCCACACUGGCACUGAGAUACGGGCCAGACUCCUACGGGGAGCAGCAGUAGGGAUAUGGACAAUGGGUAGAAAGCCUGAUCCAGCCAUGCCGCGU
rnacentral:rRNA from 1 species